rnacentral:rRNA from 1 species
AUUGAACGCUGGCGGCAUGCCUUACACAUGCAAGUCGAACGGUAACAGGCCUUCGGAUGCUGACGAGUGGCGAACGGGUGAGUAAUACAUCGGAACGUGCCUAGUAGUGGGGGAUAACUACUCGAAAGAGUGGCUAAUACCGCAUGAGAUCUACGGAUGAAAGCAGGGGAUCGCAAGACCUUGUGCUACUAGAGCGGCCGAUGGCAGGUUAGGUAGUUGGUGGGAUAAAAGCUUACCAAGCCGACGAUCUGUAGCUGGGCUGAGAGGACGAGCAGCCACACUGGGACUGGGACAAGGCCCAGACUCCUGCGGGAGGCGGCAGUGGGGAAUUUUGGACAAUGGGCGCAAGCCUGAUCCAGCAAUGCCGCGUGCAGGAUGAAGGCCUUCGGGUUGUAAACUGCUUUUGCACGGAACGAAAAGCCCCGGGUUAAUACCCUGGGGUCAUGACGGUACCGUAAGAAUAAGCACCGGCUAACUACGUGCCAGCCGCCGCCGUAA